GGCCAUAGCUUAGUGGUAGGGCAUCUGCCUCUCAAGCAGAAGGUCCCAGGUUCAAUCCCAGGCAUCUCCA